CUCUUAUCAAGAGAGGUGGAGGGAAUGGCCCUGUGAAACCCGGCAACCGUCAGCAAUGCUGAUAGGUGCUAAUUCCAUCAAAGCUCCUAAAGCUUUGAAAGAUAAGAG
rnacentral:ncRNA from 2 species